rfam:Clavibacter michiganensis subsp. sepedonicus complete genome
GUCCCUGACACGGGGUGCCCACGAGGGCUGAGAUGAGACCCGUCGCACCUGAUCCGGUUCGCACCGGCGGAGGGAUGUCAUCAUGAGCGCUC